rnacentral:rRNA from 1 species
CCUACGGGUGGCAGCAGUGAGGAAUAUUGGUCAAUGGGCGCGAGCCUGAACCAGCCAAGUAGCGUGAAGGAUGACUGCCCUACGGGUUGUAAACUUCUUUUAUAAAGGAAUAAAGUGAGGCACGUGUGCCUGGUUGAAGGUACCUUAUGAAGAAGGAGCGGCUAACGCCGUGCAAGCAGCCGCGGUAAUACGGAGGAUCCGAGCGUUAUCCGGGUUUAGUGGGGUUAAAGGGAGCGUAGAGGGGUUGUUAAGUCCGUUGUGAAAGGUUGCGGCUCAACCGUAAAAUUGCAAUUGAUACUGGCAGCCUGUCGUACAGUUGAGGUAGGCGGAAUUCGUGGUGUAGCGGUGAAAUGCUUAGAUAUCACGAAGAACUCCGAUUGCGAAGGCAGCCUACUACACUGCCACUGACAUUGAUGCUCGAAAGUGUGGGUAUCAAACAGGAUUAGAUACCCUUGUAGUC